AUUGAACGCUAGCGGGAUGCCUUACACAUGCAAGUCGAACGGAGUGUCGAACGGGUGAGUAAUGUAUCGGAACGUGCCCAGUAGCGGGGGAUACCUACGCGAAAGCGUACCUAAUACCGCAUACUUUUGGAGCGGCCGAUGUCGUCUUAGCUAGUUGGUGGGGUAACGGCUCACCAAGGCGACGAUCCGUAGCUGGUUUGAGAGGACGACCAGACACACUGGGACUGAGACACGGCCCAGACUCCUACGGGAGGCAGCAGUGGGGAAUUUUGGACAAUGGGGGAAACCCUGAUCCAGCAAUGCCGCGUGUGCGAUGAAGGCCUUCGGGUUGUAAAGCACUUUUGGCAGGAAAGCGGUACCUGAAGAAUAAGCACCGGCUAACUACGUGCCAGCCGCCGCGGUAAUAC
rnacentral:rRNA from 1 species